ACUACAUCUUGUAUCAUCCGGUCUCCUGGUCCAUAUUCACACAACGCAGAGUACUGACGAACAGCCAUAAUAAUUAAAAAGGUUACAUCCCUCUGCUAUUGAUAAUUUCAUAUACAAACAGCGGGUGACAGACUCAUCUAUGUAGGGUGGAGAUGGAACAGCAGGACAUAUGAUUGGCACAAAACACCUGAAAGAGCUCCAUGAGACAUCUGAAUAGACGGAACACACACUUGCUGAGCUAGCGAAUCAGGUUGGCCGAACCACCUUUCUGGUGAACCCCCCACAUUUCCUCGCCCCAUCCACAAAGUUGCCAAUAUCAGCUCAGAAGAAGUGGGACUGCU